rnacentral:rRNA from 1 species
UACGGAGGGUGCAAGCGUUAUCCGGAUUCACUGGGUUUAAAGGGUGCGUAGGUGGGCAGGUAAGUCAGUGGUGAAAUCUCCGGGCUUAACCCGGAAACUGCCAUUGAUACUAUCUGUCUUGAAUACCCUGGAGGUGAGCGGAAUAUGUCAUGUAGCGGUGAAAUGCUUAGAUAUGACAUAGAACACCCAUUGCGAAGGCAGCUCACUACGGGACUAUUGACACUGAGGCACGAAAGCGUGGGGAGCGAACAGG